rnacentral:piRNA from 1 species
UGCCCUGAAGAAGUUCUUCCUUGUUUAGUU